rnacentral:lncRNA from 1 species
GGGUUUCGAUUUUCACAAUAAAUCUAAAUACACGAAUCUUUUCAAACUUGAGUUUUAAAUGAUCUCGGGAAAUUAAGAAAAGAUUGUGUCCUAACUUACUGGGCAUGAUCCUUUUUUUUAAAACCCCGAUGUACAAAGCCCAAAUUUGCCCCAACCCAACAAACUAAAUUAAACCCAAAAAAACUGCAAGCCCAAACCCAAUACAUCAAUUACCCUAGCCCACGUUCAAAAAAAAAAAAAAGAAGAACAAGUAGCAGCAACCCUAGGUGCGCCGCACCUAGGGUCUUCAGCCACCAACCCGUCGCACCUAGCCUCUGCUAAAAUCAUCCACUUGCCCUGGUCGCCGGCGCCGCAUGUCACGUCUCUGCCCA